rnacentral:rRNA from 1 species
UACGUAGGCAGCGAGCGUUGUUCGGAGUUACUGGGCGUAAAGGGUGUGUAGGCGGUUCUUUAAGUUUGGGGUGAAAUCUCCCGGCUCAACCGGGAGGGUGCGCCGAAUACUGAGGAACUAGAGUACGGGAGAGGAAAGUGGAAUUCCUGGUGUAGCGGUGAAAUGCGUAGAUAUCAGGAGGAACACCGGUGGUGUAGACGGCUUUCUGGACCGUAACUGACGCUGAGACACGAAAGCGUGGGUAGCAAACAGG